UUUGGCAUAGAGGGCAGUGUUGCUCAAUUCCCAUUCCCCAGCUAUAUAGUCUAUCCCUGGUUGGUAGUCUGUCCUGUAGGGCUAGCCACAGGUUGAACACUGCUUUUGGUCUGGCUUGGUUCUGUAAAAUUAAGUUCUUCCAUGGGACUGCUGGCACUUCUUGCAACUACGACUGGUACAACUGUCUAGUGGUGCAUUUCUGGUGUCUCCAGUUUUGGAUCCUUUGUAAGG
rnacentral:lncRNA from 1 species